GCGGGAGUUGCCAAGUCUGGUCAAAGGCGGCGGACUUAAGAUCCGCCCUCGUAGGAGUUCGUGGGUUCGAACCCCACCUCCCGC
rnacentral:tRNA from 1 species